UACGUAGGGGCCGAGCGUUGUCCGGAGUUAUUGGGCGUAAAGCGCGCGCAGGCGGCCUCGCGCGCCCGACGUGAAAGCCCCCGGCUUAACCGGGGAGGGUCGUUGGGGACGGCGGGGCUUGAGGGCGGGAGAGGGUGGUGGAAUUCCCGGUGUAGUGGUGAAAUGCGUAGAGAUCGGGAGGAACACCCGUGGCGAAGGCGGCCACCUGGGCCGACCCUGACGCUGAGGCGCGACAGCGUGGGGAGCAAACAGG
rnacentral:rRNA from 1 species